ensembl:piRNA 21ur-5358 ncRNA
UAGUGUCACAUGGUGUUUAGU